rnacentral:rRNA from 1 species
AUGGGUGAUGCUGAUGACACAGAGAUGGAUGAGGGAAAGAAACAGAGAGAGUAUGAUGAAAUAGAAGAGGAAGAAACAGAUGAUGAAGAAUCUGAGGAGGAAGAAGUGGUGCAUUAUGAGGGUGACACAGAGGUUGAGGAACCUUUUCAAAUGGAUGAAGACGACAAAGUUGUUUCACAGGAUGAGGAAACUGUAAUUGUACAUGAAGAGAAGAAGAAGAAGAAGAAGAAACAGAAGCUUCCAGUUAGGAAAGGGCCUACAACAAGGACACAUUCAAGUGUAGUACAAGAGGAGGAACCUGAUUUCAAACCUUCAUCUGAUGAAGAAGUGAAAGGAUUGUUGAAGGAGGCUGAUGAUGAUGGUUUUGAGCCAUUGUCAUUUGUGCUGCCAAAGAAAAGGAAGAGCAGGGCAAAGCAGAGGCCUCCUAGAAAAUGGUACAAUGAGAAAAUGGAGGCACCGCAUGAGCAAUUAUGUCUAAAGAUGUGUUUCAAGGAUCAACAUCAAUUCAGAGAGGCUUUGUUGAACUUACACAUCACUCAAGGCAGAAACUUCAAAUAUCAUAGGAACUCAGAUCAAAGGAUAAUUGUAGAAUGGAACCAAAAACAUUGCAACUUCUUUAUGGUGGCAGCAGUUAUAAAAGGUGAAACUACUUUUGUAAUUAAGAAGAUAAGAAUUAAACACACUUGCCCUAUUAGUACAGAGACAAAAAUUCCGGAGAAACUAAACAUGACUGAGCAAAGCACAUCACAACACAUUGCAGUGUCAUCGUACAUCAUCCAUCUCACUCGUGACCCGGUGACUUUGGCUUCACUACAACCACACAGGAGCACCCGCAUCGGCAUGUCCGCGACAACCAUGUUCUUCAACCCCAUCGACACCAGAGAGGGAAGGCAUAUCCGAAGAGAGGCGGACAUGUGCCGCUCCGAUCUCGAGAGGAGGACAAACAAGGCUUGCCUGAUACACUUCACAUGUCAAGUGUGCUUCUGCUGCCCUCCACCGUCGUGCCACAGCCAACCAAAGAUGACCAUGCCAUCACAGACUCCACACACUGCCGGAGCCGACCAUCCAGACCACGGCAAACCAGAUGCACCCAUCGAGACACAAGUGGAAAAAAGCCUAGCUAUGGCGUGGCAAAUAGUGCCUUGCUGA